AAAAAGAUCAGCCUUCUCUUCCCAGUUCUUCCUGGAGUCAGGAAAAGCUGGGUUGAGAGGGCAGGAAAAAAAAAAA
rnacentral:pre_miRNA from 1 species